rnacentral:rRNA from 1 species
CACGUAGGAGGCAAUCGUUAUCCGGAUUUAUUGGGCGUAAAGCGCGUGUAGGUGGUUCUGUAAGUAGGGCGUGAAAGCUCCUGGCUCAACCGGGAGAGGCCGUUCUAUACUGCAGAGCUAGAGGAUGGUAGAGGGAGGUGGAAUUCCAGGUGUAGCGGUGGAAUGCGCAGAUAUCUGGAGGAACACCAGUGGCGAAGGCGGCCUCCUGGACCAUUCCUGACACUCAGACGCGAAAGCUAGGGUAGCAAACGGGAUUAGAUACCCU